CUGUUAAUGGGAAGAAAUCACCAUCGCGUGGCUCCUUAGAGGCUGUUGCCGUCGAUAAAACUACUGUAUCUCCAUAACGAACAAGGACAGCACCGUUCGCUUGUUUCGCGAGUUGACCUGUUUCAAUUGUUAACGGUCGAUUGGCCCACUCCGUUUUAAAUACCUUUUUUUCUUGAGACAUGCGUUAUCUCCUCUCUCCUACUUCUAAAUACAUUUCAAAUACAUUUCAAUCCUAUUAUAGCUUACGAUUAAAAAACGUUACAAACGCUUUAAAAACCGUGAAUGCGGACUUACGCUUAUAGUAAAAAAAGAAAGAAACCAAAGCCUGGCCUCUUUCUUU
rnacentral:antisense_RNA from 1 species